AUUAAUUCUUCUUCCUAUCAAGAAUUUUCCAAAAUUGUUUUGAAAUUUUUCUUAAAUUUUCAGAUAUAUAUUUUUUAGAUUUUAAUAGGUAAAAUUUUGAUUUCUUAAAAUAAAAUAAGUUAUUGGGCCGGAAAAACAAAGAUCCAAUCAAGUUAGGUUUACGAGUUGUGACUCGACCAGUGAGAUCUCUCCCUUUAGCUUCGAUCUUAGUGUUUCUA
rnacentral:misc_RNA from 1 species